GGACAACAGGCUGCUGCUUGGCAUCGUCCAGUUCAAAUGCAGUCUUCAGGGAGAUGGAAAUUACACCUAACUGUCGUACAUCAACCUAUGGAAGGUGGACGUCGGUUUGUCUAGAAAAGACAGGACAUCUUGAAGCAGAGGAUUGCAAUUUAGAGAGAUGGGGUCUCGCUCUUGUUCAC